rnacentral:rRNA from 1 species
GACGAACGCUGGCGGCGUGCCUAAUACAUGCAAGUGGAACGCUGAAGGAGGAGCUUGCUUCUCUGGAUGAGUUGCGAACGGGUGAGUAACGCGUAGGUAACCUGCCUGGUAGCGGGGGAUAACUAUUGGAAACGAUAGCUAAUACCGCAUAAUAGUAGAUGUUGCAUGACAUUUGCUUAAAAGGUGCAAUUGCAUCACUACCAGAUGGACCUGCGUUGUAUUAGCUAGUUGGUGAGGUAACGGCUCACCAAGGCAACGAUACAUAGCCGACCUGAGAGGGUGAUCGGCCACACUGGGACUGAGACACGGCCCAGACUCCUACGGGAGGCAGCAGUAGGGAAUCUUCGGCAAUGGACGGAAGUCUGACCGAGCAACGCCGCGUGAGUGAAGAAGGUUUUCGGAUCGUAAAGCUCUGUUGUAAGAGAAGAACGAGUGUGAGAGUGGAAAGUUCACACUGUGACGGUAUCUUACCAGAAAGGGACGGCUAACUACGU